GGACUACAGGGGUUUCUAAUCCUGUUUGAUCCCCACGCUUUCGUGCCUCAGCGUCAAUAAUGGCUUUGUGAGCUGCCUUCGCAAUCGGUGUUCUAUGACAUAUCUAAGCAUUUCACCGCUACAUGUCAUAUUCCGCCCACAUCAAACAUAUUCAAGAUCAACAGUAUCAAUGGCAGUUCUGUUGUUAAGCAACAGGCUUUCACCACUGACUUAUCAAUCCGCCUACGCACCCUUUAAACCCAAUGAAUCCGGAUAACGCUUGGGUCCUUCGUCUUACCGCGGCUGCUGGCAC
rnacentral:rRNA from 1 species